UACUCCGGAGAGUGGCAAUCACAUAUAAUUAAGUGUGAUUGAAACCUCUAAGAGUGGA
rnacentral:pre_miRNA from 1 species